GAGAAGCUUAUCCAUGGCAUUUUAAUCAGUGUCCAGGUGCAUUCCAGCAUUUGCUUACUCCUGCCAGCUGCAGAUUUGCCAGAGUAUUGAGCUGGUCACCUCAUGCUGUAAGCUGUGUUACAGACUGGCAGCGCUAAGAGCUCUGGGCAAAGAAGGUCUGCAAAGCAGAUUCAGUUAAUUUUCUUGAAGAUCUCAGUCUCCAGCACCUGAGGAGUUUGCUCUGGGGGAAAAAAAAAAAAAAGAGAAAUCAUAUUUGAAGGCCUGCUCAGCUCCUUUAUUGGAAAGCUGGAUCUCAGUGUAUCCUUCAGGGCUUGUCCUCCCUCAGGAGAGGGGAGGUAGAGCUGUCCCCCCCCUGCCCCUGCUGCGAUGGUCUCUGGUCCUUGCAGAGCUGCAGCUGUACAAUCUGCUGAAGACAUCCCUGUUCAUCCCUGAGGACAUCCCUGCACACAGACAGGGCUGAGCAGCCUGCCCCGCAGUGAGGCUGCACUGCCACGUCUCUGGUGAGCUGCUGGCCAUCUUGGUGCUAUCACUCUUAUUUCCAAAUUAUUGAACACUGGACCCUGGCAGUGUGGCCCACAAAGCUCACUCCUCUCUGCCCCAGCCAAGCUUUCUAAUGAAAAUGUUGGAUAUUUGAAACUGCUAAACUUAGAGACAUUGAAAUUUGAAGGGGAGGUGAGUUGACACAAAUCAAUGCACACUCUCCUCCCUGUAGACUGCUGUCAUCUCUGAUGGCCUGGAGACACCUCUGCCUGUCUCCUCUGAUGGUCUUUCAGCCCUGGAGCCCAGGCUCAGUAACUGGGUUGGCUGUACAGGGCGGGAGAGGUUUUCCAACCCUGCAAAGUUAAAGCAGCACCAGUUCCCUGGCUGAGUUGUUUAUUCCUGGAGUUCUGUAGCUACACCAGGAAAAUGUUUUACCUUCCUCACUCUUGAAAAUCUUUGACAGGCCUGAGAUGACCUCUAAAGAGAUGUUUCUUCUUUGCACAAAGGCCAAACAGACGGGGGGGUUGCACAGAGCUGUGACAUCUAGAGCUGGUGGUGGCACUGGGGUGAGUGAGAACGAGCCCAGAAGGGGUUCUGGACUUGCUGGUCAUGGCCACAGAGCCAGGGUGCAACAAAGCACUUGGUCAGGCUAUCCUGGAAGCAAAAAAGGAGACCUUGCUCACUUUUUUUUUUUUUUUUUAACUUUAAACGUGUCCACUGUGGUGCAGAUGGAGAAAUUGCCAAUUCCAGAUCUCAGGAGUAGUUGUAUCAGCCCCAGCUAUCAGGUUGUCCCAGUGAAAGGUUUUGCACAUAGGAGAAGUUCAUACAAAUAAACCACUGAGUCUUCUGGUUCAGGACCAUGGGGAUUUCCCUCUCCACAGCACAGGAAGGCCACAGACACACGAAGCUUUUGUUUUGACCCAUGAUGAACUGGCAAGAGGCUACACCCUAAAUAUACAUGUAGAACCAUGCACUCACCAUACAUCCCCUGCCAUCCUCCAGAAGUUGUCCAGGCAUUUCAGAGUGGUACUGAGACAGCGAUGGACGAGAGCAGCUCUGCUUUCCCCUCCACAGCCCAGUCAGCUUCAGUGAUCCUGCUGGGAUGUCUCCAUCAGGGCAUGGUAAACAUAGGCAAGGCCUGAACAACACACUUCCCCCAAACAAGAAAUGUUAAACAAUGUCUCUGCCUCCCCAUUGUUUUCCUAACUCAAGGAAUUUCCUUUGUUGUAACUGUGACCUAUAAAGUGGCGCUUUAGAGGGUUUUAUAAUAAAAUGUCGAGUAUA